UUUGCAGAAAACUCGAGCGAUUACACUUGCAUUCAGAGUGUUGGAGAUACAGCACGCAGAUCUGCUCCAUUUGCUUUGUAUUUGGUGAAAACUUUGAGGAAAUGGCUGAACAAACCAGGAACGAUGGUUUGAUUUUCUAUGUCAACGGGAAAAAGAUAAUGGAGAAGAACCCAGACCCUGAGACUAUGUUGCUGUCUUAUCUGAGGCAGAAAUUGCUGUUAACAGGCAGUAAGUAUGGCUGUGGUGGAGGUGGAUGUGGAGCCUGUACCGUCAUGGUGUCCAGAUACGACCCUCAGACCAAGAGCAUCAAUCAUUCUUCGGUCAAUGCUUGCCUGCUUCCUGUGUGCCAACUUCAUGGAGCGGCAGUGACGACUGUUGAAGGCAUCGGAAGCACCAAAACCAAACUACACCCGGUCCAGGAGCGUGUUGCAAAGGCUCAUGGGUCUCAGUGUGGGUUCUGUACUCCUGGGAUGGUGAUGUCCAUGUACUCAUUACUGAGAAACAACCCAAAGCCCACUUUGGAAGACAUAACGGAGGGUCUCGCUGGUAAUUUAUGCAGGUGCACGGGGUACCGCCCCAUCGUUGAUGGCUACAGAACCUUCUGUGAGAGUGAAAACUGUUGUCAGUUAAAUGGCACCGCAUGCAGUUUGGCCAAUGGAAAUGGAUCUGUGGAGCCUAUAGAGAAUGGUCAGCCAGAGCUGUUUCAUAAAGAGGAUCUGCUCCCCCUCGACCCCACCCAGGAUCUGAUCUUCCCUCCUGAGCUCAUGAGAAUGGCAGAGAUCAAGGACCAAAACAGUCAGAAGUUUUGUGGGGAGAGAAUGACCUGGAUCAGCCCUGGAUCUCUAGAUGAGCUGCUCCAGCUGAAGGCUGAUUACCCACAAGCCCCUCUUGUCAUGGGCAACACCAACAUAGGUCUGGACAUGAAGUUCAAGGGAAUCUUCCAUCCCAUAAUAAUAUCACCAACACGAGUGCCUGAACUAUUCAAAGUUACCCAGAGAUCAGAGGGUGUGUGUGUUGGAGCUGGGUGCAGUAUGUCUGUUUUGAAGAGUGUGUUGGAGAGAAGUAUAAAUGAUUUCCUGCCAGAAAACACGCACUUGUUUCGGGCUCUUCUGCAGCAGAUAAACCUUGUGGGCGGACAGCAGAUCCGAAACGUGGCUACACUGGGCGGCAAUAUUGCAAGCGCAUAUCCAAACUCCGACCUGACCCCCGUUUUAGCUGCUGGGAGAUGCACUCUAGUGGCGCUUUCUAAAGAUGGACGAAGGAGGGUGCCUAUCGAUAAAGAUUUUUUCCUGGGAUUUGCAAAGACGGCUCUGAAGCCAAAUGAGAUAGUGUUGUCCGUUUUCAUUCCAGCUACAAGACAGAAUGAGAUCAUCCAUGCCUUCCGACAUGCCCCGCGUAAGGAGAACGCGCUAGCUACGGUGAACGCUGGGAUGCGUGUUUGGUUCAACGAGAACUCCAAUGUAGUGAAGGAGAUCAGUAUUUAUUACGGAGGAGUGGGAGCCACCAUCCUCAGCGCUGACCACGCGUGUAAACAGAUUGUUGGAAGGCCUUGGGAGGAGGCAACGUUAAGUGAUGCGUACAGCACACUGGUUGAUGAGAUCAAACUUGGGCCGUCGGCUCCAGGCGGGAAGGUGGAUUUCCGCAGAUCCCUGACCUUGAGUUUGCUUUUUAAAUUCCACCUGCUCGUCCUCCAUUACCUGAAGGAAAAGGAUGUGACUCAGAGGGAAAUACCUCAAGAGAUGCAAAGUGCAAUUCAGCCUCUUCCUAAACACAUUCAACCUGGCUACCAAGAGUUUCAGAAUGUCUUAGAUGGUCAGCCAGCUCAAGAUCCGGUGGGCCGACCCAUGAUGCACCGGUCGGCGUUGAGUCAGGCUACUGGAGAGGCCGUGUACUGUGAUGACCUACCGCACACUGAUGGUGAACUUUUCCUCACAAUUGUGACAAGCUCCAGACCACAUGCCAAAAUCACUCAUAUUGACUUUAGUGAAGCUCUAAAGCUUCCUGGUGUGGUGGAUGUAAUAACAGCUAAAGACAUACCAGGGAAAAAGUUCAGAACCUUCACAGGCAUUGAUGAAGAACUGCUGGCUGAAGAUGAGGUGACCUGUGUGGGUCAGAUGGUUUGUGCUGUGGUCGCAGAUUCCAAAGCACAUGCUAAACGUGGGGCGGCAGCGGUGAAGAUCGGUUAUGAAGAUCUGCAGGAACGCAUCUUCACUGUGGAGGAGGCCAUCGAGAAAGAGUCUUUCUUUCUACCUAAAAGAAAGAUUGAGCGAGGAGAUGUGGAAAAAGGCUUGAGAGAGGCCGAACAAGUGUAUGAAGGAGAGAUUCGGAUUGGAGGACAGGAGCAUUUCUACAUGGAAACACAAAGUUUUCUGGUCAUUCCAGUUGGGGAAGAGAAGGAGAUGAAAGUUUAUUUGUCCACUCAGCAUCCUGCAUUUACGCAAGAGUCAGUAGCUGAGACUUUGGGAAUCCCAUCCAAUCGUGUUUCUUGUCACAUUAAGCGUCUGGGUGGAGCUUUCGGAGGCAAGGUCACUAAAACUGCCAUUUUGGCCUCUAUCACUGCUGUUGCUGCUUGGAAGACUGGACAACCAGUACGAUGUGUUUUAGAGAGAGGAGAGGAUAUGCUGAUAACUGGAGGGCGCCACCCGGUGUGGGGAAAGUAUAAGGUGGGAUUUCUGAAGAACGGGAGGAUAACAGCAGCUGAUUUCCAGUACUACACCAACUCCGGAAACACAGUAGAUGAGUCCGUACUGGUCGCCGAGAAGAUCCUCCUACAUCUUGAUAACGCCUAUAACAUUCCAAACCUGCGCGGUCGAGCGGCAGCCUGCAAGACCAACCUGCCCUCCAAUACUGCAUUCCGAGGGUUUGGUGUGCCACAGUGCAUGCUGGUCAUUGAGAGUAUGAUCGAUGAUGUUGCUCUUAAACUCGGCCGUCUACCUGAGGAGAUCAGGGAGAUAAACAUGUACAAGGAAGUUUCCUUCACUCACUACAAGAUGGAGUUUGACCCAGAGAAUCUCGUCCGCUGCUGGAAUGAGUGUAUGGAAAAAGCUGACUUCAGGCAGCGACGGCAGGCCAUUGAUCUCUUUAACCAGCAGAACCAGUUCAAAAAGAGAGGAAUCGCCAUUAUACCCAUUAAAUAUGGCAUUGGGUUUGCAGAGGCGUUCCUCAACCAGGCUGCAGCUCUCGUGCAUAUUUAUAAGGAUGGAUCUGUGCUUGUGAGCCACGGUGGGGCAGAAAUGGGUCAAGGCAUACACACUAAAGUCCAACAGGUGGCAAGUCGGGAGCUGAAUAUUCCUGCUUCUUUGAUCCACAUCUCUGAAACCAGCACACAAUGCGUCCCGAAUACCUGCCCGUCUGCUGCGUCAUUUGGUACCGACGCCAACGGAAUGGCUGUGCAGGUAUCGAACACCAGAUUUUAAAACACCAGAUCAGAUUGAAGAACAACACUGAAGAAAUGACACUUUGCUACAAUGUAAAGUAACGUAUGAGUGCUGCCAGCAUUGCUGCAGAGGUUGAAGGGGUGGGGGUUCAGCCUGUCAGUGCUCAGACCAUACGCCGCACACUGCAUCAAAAUGGUCUGCAUGGCUGUCAUCUCAGAAGGAAGCCUUUUCCAAAGAUGAUGCACAAGAAAGCCCGCAAACAGUUUGCUUAAGACAAGCAGACUGAGGAACCGUGUCCUGUGGUCUGAUGAGACCAAGAUAAACUUAUUUGGUUCAGAUGGUGACAAGCGUGUGUGGCGGCAACCAGGUGAGGAGUACAAAGACAAGUGUGUCUUGCCUACAGUCAAGCAUGGUGGUGGGAGUGUCAUGGUCUGGGGCUGUAUGAGUGCUGCUGGCACUGGGGAGCUACAAUUCAUUGAGAGAACCAUGAAUGCCAACAGAGCAUGAUCCCCUCCCUUCGGAGACUGGGCCGCAGGGCAGUAUUCCAACAUGAUAACGACCCCAAACACACCUCCAAGAUGACCACUUUGCUAAAGAAGCUGAGGGUAAAGGUGAUGGACUGGCCAAGCAUGUCUCCAGACCUAAACCCUAUUGAGCAUCUGUGGUGCACCCUCAAAUGGAAGGUGGAGGAGCACAAGGUCUCUAACAUCCACCAGCUCCGUGAUGUCGUCAUGGAGGAGUGGAAGAGGACUCCAGUGGAAACCUGUGAAGCUCUGGUGAACUCCAUGCCCAAGAGGGUUAAGGCAGUGCUGGAAAAUAAUGGUGGCCACACAAAAUAUUGACACUUUGGGCCCAAUUUGGACAUUUUCACUUAGGGGUGUACUCACUUUUGUGGCCAGCGGUUCAGACAUUAAUGGCUGUGUGUUGAGUUAUUUUGAGGGGACAGCAAAUUUACACUGUUACACAAGCUGUACACUCACUACUUUACAUUGUAGCAAAGUGUCAUUUCUUCAGUGUUGUCACAUGAAAAGAUAUAAUAAAAUAUUUACAAAAAUGUGAGGGGUGUACUCACUUCUGUGAGAUACUGUAUAUCAUAAAAUGUAUGCAUUUUGGGAGAUUGGCCAAUUUAUGCUUUUAAUGUCUGUUUUUGGAUUCUUAAAAUCCUCCUUUUUUUUUAGGAUGCCUGCCAAAUACUGUACAAGAGACUAGAGCCAAUCAGAAAAAAGAAUCCUGAGGGAACAUGGCAGAACUGG